CCUGCAGUUUGUUGAUACCGAAGAGUUCCAGAGGUGACUGAGUUUAGUUAAUUACCUCUUCUCAUUUUAUUCAGCUUCUUUAUGGCCUAAUCAUGAUUUUGAUUUCAAUAUAUCAUGCUAUUUAGGUUGCGGGACUUGAAACAACUAGGAAGAGAUUGUUCAUAAUGGACCCUAUACAAAAUAAUGAAGGUCGUACGCCAUUUGCAGACUUGACAAACUCCAUUAAUGGAGCUGUUUAUACAUCAUCAAAUUCACAAGUGCAAGCUGAUGAACGUGUGCAACGUAAAAGGGAAAGAGAAAAGCCAAGACAUGCAACAAUGAGUCAAGAACAAAGGGAUGAAAAAAAUAAAAAAAACGUAGAGAAAAAUAUCAUCAAAAAAAGGCAGAAACUUCUCUAGCUGCUGGGUCCAGAGGUCCACCGUAUUCUAAUUUUCCGUUUUUGAAUUUUGUAUUACCAUUUUUUUCGUUUAUGUGAGACAUAUAGUAUUGUAUAUCACCUACUUGUAUUAGUCAUUUGUUUGCUUAUUUAGAAUAUAAUUAUGUUGUACCAGAUGGAUUUAAAUCAACCACGGAAAACACCAAUGGCUAUGAAGAUAGUGACUGGCUACAUCGAGACAAUUCAUAUAAAC